rnacentral:lncRNA from 1 species
GCAGAUCCUGAAUUCCACAUUAAACCAGAAAUCAUACACCAAGCCAGUAACAUCACCCAGACGUAACACAGGGCACCUCGUCGAUGCUGAUGCCACAUCUGCUGCCUUGGGUGGCAGCUGCAGUGGGUGAAGGGCCAAGGAGAGACCAAUGGUGUGAAUCAAGCUGAGAAGCACCUUACAGCACAAGCACCAUCACCCCACUAAGCUUGUUCAAGGAACUUGGGACCACCACAACCAGUCCAAGUCCUGGCAAAAAUCAAGAUGGGAUGGGCCCAGAGAGAUUAUGUCUACCCGAGUGGAAGCCCUGGCCACCAUAUUUGCACAUUAAGUGGCUUCAUCUCUGCUCAUUUGUGUGUUGGUGUCAUCAUUUUGGCCUCACCCUGAUGCAAACUCACGCUAACCAUUUUUGAUGGUCUUUAACACAGCUUUUAAUAGUUCUUUGUUCACAGUGCUGGCAUCAACAUUGGCAUCAUCAGUGUAAUCCCAGGUGUGUGGGAACACAACCAAGUGUGCAGGAACAUCACCAACACAACCGCAUCACACCUCACCAGACUCAGCAAGAGCCCACUGGACUCACCUGGGCACCUGCUCAGCUAUACAUGACCAGGUUGACUCGUAGGUGCUUCCAUGAUCAGACAAAAGCAGCAUGUUUUCCUUUCUGCACCUCUACAAAGGACAUCUUAAAGAACUCAUCGUGGCACGGCUCUAUUUGUUUCCUAGUCUACAAGGUUUGCAUCCCAUAGGUCUGUAAGG